AAGAGAUCGGGAUAACACCUGGAAACAGAUGCUAAUACCGGAUAACAACAGAUGAUGCCUAUCAACUGNUUUUUUAAAAAGAUGGUUCUGCUAUCACUCUUGGAUGGACCUGCGGUGCAUUAGCUAGUUGGUAGGGUAACGGCCUACCAAGGCGAUGAUGCAUAGCCGAGUUGAGAGACUGAUCGGCCACAUUGGGACUGAGACACGGCCCAAACUCCUACGGGAGGCAGCAGUU
rnacentral:rRNA from 1 species